UACGAAGGGGGCUAGCGUUGCUCGGAAUGACUGGGCGUAAAGGGCGCGUAGGCGGUUUGUACAGUCAGGUGUGAAAUUCCCGGGCUCAACCUGGGGGCUGCGCUUGAUACGUAUGGACUGGAGUGGGGAAGAGGGUCGUGGAAUUCCCAGUGUAGAGGUGAAAUUCGUAGAUAUUGGGAAGAACACCGGUGGCGAAGGCGGCGACCUGGUCCUUGACUGACGCUGAGGCGCGAAAGCGUGGGGAGCAAACAGG
rnacentral:rRNA from 1 species